GUCCUUUAGAAAAAAAUUAAAGGUCUAAUCUGCCCAAUGAUGUUUGAAUGGCCGCGGUAACUUGACCGUGCAAAGGUAGCAUAAUUAUUAGUCUUUUAAUUGAAGGCUUGAAUGAAAGAUUGGAUGAAAAAUAAACUUUAUUAAUAAAUAUUAUUUAAUUUAUCAUUUAAGUAAAAAUUCUUAAAUAUAUAAGUGGGACGAGAAGACCCUAUAGAGUUUUAUAUUUAUUUUUAUUAUGAAUUUUAAGAAUCAAUAUUUUCAUAAUAUAAAUAAAUAUUUUAUUGGGGUGAUAUUAAAAAUUACUGAACUUUUAAUUAACAUUUCAUUAAUAUAUGAAUUUUUGAUCCAAAAUAAUUUUUGAUUAUAAGAUUAAAUUACCUUAGGGAUAACAGCGUUAUUAAUUUGAAGAGUUCAAAUCGAUAAAUUAGUUUGCGACCUCGAUGUUGGAUUAAGAAUAAAUUUUGAAGAAGUAUUUAAGAUUGUAGGUCUGUUCGACCUUUAAAUUCUUACGUGAUCUGAG
rnacentral:rRNA from 1 species